ACUUAUUCUCCUUACUUGCGGUAAGUCUUAUAUGUUUGUCAUUAAAACAUAUAAUUAAUAUGAAAUUUUUUUUACUAAAUGUAAAUUCAUUUAAUUAAGUUGUGUUGGAUAAAAAAAAAUCGAUCAAUUAAUGCAGAUAUGAUGGAACAAACUGAGGGAUGGGGCUGUGAUCCUGCCGAAUGUGAUUUGAAAUGUAUUGCUGCAGGUUAUCCGCGUGGUGGUCAAUGCAUUAAUAAAAUUAGAUGCGUCUGCAAGAAAUCCAUUGUGGGGGUAAUGAAAGAUCAUAUGCAAGGGGAGCAUUUGUAAAUAGUUCCGUUUAUUAUUAGCACAUGAGUGUUCGAGUAGAGAUCCUUUCAUUUUUCAAAACAAUUUGAUGGUCUUAAUUACUAGUAUAGUUUUAGCUGUGAUCACUAUAUCUUAGCUACUAUGUCUUUGUGUUCUAGUUUUCUGAUUAGUAAGGAGUGGUAUAUACCCCNNNNNNNNNNNNNNNGGCUUUGAGCUUGCUGCGCCAAUUAUUAUGAUACUUUAGUUCUGCAUUUGUGCUGUAUUUUUAAUCAAAAUGUAAUGAAAUAGCAC
rnacentral:lncRNA from 1 species